UACGUAGGGUGCAAGCGUUAAUCGGAAUUACUGGGCGUAAAGCGUGCGCAGGCGGUUGUGCAAGACCGAUGUGAAAUCCCCGGGCUUAACCUGGGAAUGGCAUUGGUGACUGCACGGCUAGAGUGUGUCAGAGGGGGGUAGAAUUCCACGUGUAGCAGUGAAAUGCGUAGAGAUGUGGACGGAAUGACCGAUGGCGAAGGCA
rnacentral:rRNA from 1 species